CCACAGUGGAACUUAAUAUACUGGUGACAAUCGAAGACAUGGUAUGGAAACUAUAGUAUUAAUACCUAUAAGCUUUGGUGUCGCUUAAAGGAGUGUUGUCAAUUGAGAUAUUUUACAUGAAGCAAUGUUCAUUUAUGAUUGCUAAAUCAGGCAUAUCUCUUGGUUUGUUUUGGUUUAUUUGGUUUGAGGAAAGUGUUCGCCUUUUAGAAGGUUUGAAAGAGGUUUGUUUAAGAAAGGAUGUGGUUUGAAUGACGUGCGGUUUGAAAGAGGUUUGUUUAAGAAGGGAUGUGGUUUCAUUGAGUUGCGUGCUUUGUGGUGCGAUUUGAGUUUGAAAGAGGCUUGUUUUAGAAAGAAUGACAAAUGAUUAUUUUCCGACAUAUCGUAAUUUUUAAUUCCGAGCCACUUAAAUAUUUUCGCUCACCACGAAAACAAUUUUCCAAUAACUUCUUUCAUCUGUAAUAUCACCGUCCUUCAGCUUUUUAGCAGUCGCAUCUCGGGCUUUGUUCCACAAU